GUGGGGAAUUUUGGACAAUGGGCGCAAGCCUGAUCCAGCAAUGCCGCGUGCAGGAAGAAGGCCUUCGGGUUGUAAACUGCUUUUGUACGGAACGAAAAGCCUGGGGCUAAUAUCCCCGGGUCAUGACGGUACCGUAAGAAUAAGCACCGGCUAACUACGUGCCAGCAGCCGCGGUAAUACGUAGGGUGCAAGCGUUAAUCGGAAUUACUGGGCGUAAAGCGUGCGCAGGCGGUUUUGUAAGACAGUGGUGAAAUCCCCGGGCUCAACCUGGGAACUGCCAUUGUGACUGCAAGGCUAGAGUGCGGCAGAGGGGGAUGGAAUUCCGCGUGUAGCAGUGAAAUGCGUAGAUAUGCGGAGGAACACCGAUGGCGAAGGCAAUCCCCUGGGCCUGCACUGACGCUCAUGCACGAAAGCGUGGGGAGCAAACAGGAUUAGAAACCCCAGUAGUCC
rnacentral:rRNA from 1 species